rnacentral:tRNA from 1 species
UCCCGGUUAGCUCAGUGGGUAGAGCGCUCCACCGGAAAUGAAGAGGUCCCGAGUUCGAUGCCAGGACCAGGCA